AUUGAACGCUGGCGGCAGGCCUAACACAUGCAAGUCGAGCGGAUGAGUGGAGCUUGCUCCAUGAUUCAGCGGCGGACGGGUGAGUAAUACCUAGGAAUCUGCCUGGUAGUGGGGGACAACGUUUCGAAAGGAACGCUAAUACCGCAUACGUCCUACGGGAGAAAGUGGGGGAUCUUCGGACCUCACGCUAUCAGAUGAGCCUAGGUCGGAUUAGCUAGUUGGUGAGGUAAAGGCUCACCAAGGCGACGAUCCGUAACUGGUCUGAGAGGAUGAUCAGUCACACUGGAACUGAGACACGGUCCAGACUCCGACGGGAGGCAGCAGUGGGGAAUAUUGGACAAUGGGCGAAAGCCUGAUCCAGCCAUGCCGCGUGUGUGAAGAAGGUCUUCGGAUUGUAAGGCACUUUAAGUUGGGAGGAAGGGCAGUAAGUUAAUACCUUGCUGUUUUGACGUUACCAACAGAAUAAGCACCGGCUAACUUCGUGCCAGCCGCCGCAGUAACAC
rnacentral:rRNA from 1 species